CUCUCAAAGAUUUAAUUUUGAGUAAAAUCUGCUCACUGUUAAUAUAAAAAGCCGCAGAAUUUUACUGUGCUAAGGUAGCAUAAUCACUUGUUUCCUAAUUAGAGACUAGAAUGAAAGAUUUAACAUCUAAUUUCUUUCUUAUUUUAAUAAAUAAAAUUUAUAUUAAAUAUAAAAAUAUAUUUAUAAAAAAAAUAGACGACAAGACCCUAUCGAACUUAACUUAUGUUAAGCUGGGGCAGCUAAUUAAACAAGAUUUUAAUUUUAUUAUAAUAACAAAUGACCUAAUAUAACUAAUUUUAUGACCAAGUUACCGUAGGGAUAACAGCGUAAUAUAAUUUUAAACUCUUAUUUAAAAUUUAGUUUACGACCUCGAUGUUGAAUUAUUUAUCUUAAAAACGCAAUAGUUUUAUAAGAAAGUCUGUUCGACUUUUAAAUUUUUACA
rnacentral:rRNA from 1 species